rnacentral:tRNA from 1 species
UCGGGGAUAGUUCAACGGUAGAACUACGGACUCUGACUCCGUCAAUCUAGGUUCGAAUCCUAGUCCCCGAACCA